rnacentral:rRNA from 1 species
UACGGAGGAUCCAAGCGUUAUCCGGAAUCAUUAGGUUUAAAGGGUCCGUAGGCGGUUUUAGUAAGUCAGUGGUGAAAGCCCAUCGCUCAACGGUGGAACGGCCAUUGAUACUGCUGAACUUGAAUUACUGGGAAGUAACUAGAAUAUGUAGUGUAGCGGUGAAAUGCUUAGAUAUUACAUGGAAUACCAAUUGCGAAGGCAGGUUACUACCAGUUGAUUGACGCUGAUGGACGAAAGCGUGGGGAGCGAUCCGG